UACAGAGGGUGCGAGCGUUGUCCGGAAUCACUGGGCGUAAAGGGCGCGUAGGCGGCUUGAUCAGCGUGCGGUGAAAGCCCGGGGCUCAACCCCGGGCGUGCAUUCGAUACUGCGCGGCUCGAGACAGGUAGGGGAGAUCGGAAUUCCUGGUGUAGCGGUGAAAUGCGCAGAUAUCAGGAGGAACACCGGUGGCGAAGGCGGAUCUCUGGGCCUGUUCUGACGCUGAGGCGCGAAAGCUAGGGGAGCGAACAGG
rnacentral:rRNA from 1 species